GCCGACUGGAACCCGACC
rnacentral:misc_RNA from 1 species